rnacentral:rRNA from 1 species
UACGUAGGGUGCGAGCGUUAAUCGGAAUUACUGGGCGUAAAGCGUGCGCAGGCGGUUGUGUAAGACAGGUGUGAAAUCCCCGGGCUUAACCUGGGAACUGCGCUUGUGACUGCACAGCUAGAGUAUGGCAGAGGGGGUGGAAUUCCACGUGUAGCAGUGAAAUGCGUAGAGAUGUGGAGGAACACCGAUGGCGAAGGCAGCCCCCUGGGCCAAUACUGACGCUCAUGCACGAAAGCGUGGGGAGCAAAACAGG